UGGAGUGGGUGAGUCAAGCAGAAUAAGUAUACAGAUAUCUAUGUGUGAUAAGCAGCUUUUGCACUACAAUUUACAAAGCCACUUGACACCAGUCAGGCAGCACUACUUCUCCUGCCUUUCCGGAUUUUCCUGCCCACAGGCUUGUGCUUCUGAUUCAUAGAAACCUAAGCCAACCCUUAUCAUGAUGCUCUAUUGCUGUCUGCUUGUGGCUGUAAUCUUGGACGUAGUCUUAGCUGCUAAAUUACACUCAGGUAGGUCUCUAAGUGCUUUUCUUAGUGCUUUUCCCAUUUGCUCUCCUAUGUGCCUCUUCGUUGCAUAAGAAACACUUUAAAUUCAUUCAACCCACUUAAAUGAUGCAUAGUGAUGAAUCGUGCAGUGUUUUCCUUCUUAGGUAUGCAGACUAGAAAACAUGCUUUAAGAUUUCCUUUUUAAUUGGCUCAUCUAACCUCUGUAUGAAAAAAAAAAAAACAAAAAACCCCAACUCCUGCUGGUAGGACUUUUACAAGUGAGGAACAACCCAACGUGAGUUUGGUGUCCACGGAUAUGCUUUGCAGAUACUGACUACAGGUCAAGAGAUGUGAGGUCUCCUGGCAUUUCUGUCCAGAAGGAGAUACAUGAUGAGGAAUAAUCCAGGGCCCGGACGCUAACCACUGCUUGAGCUCUAAGCAUGGAGGAGAAGCCACCUCUCACUGGGAGCUGGAAAAAGGCAUCAAAGGCAAUCAAGAAGGUUUCAUGAGAAUUUGUCCCUUUCGAUUAGGUGGUCACAGCCUGCACAGGAAGAGUCAACAAAGCACCCUUUUUCUCGUUGACCUUCUGCUAUUCUUCUUGGCCAUGCAGGUGUUAGCAUAAGCCAUUUUGCUACUCUUUAGAGAAGCCACUUGUUUCCAUGACUGGCAAAGGAAUGGGAUGAGUAAGAGCAAAAGUGGCCAGGUAUGCAGAGCAUAAUGAGUUUCAAAAAAGUUUUUGAAACUUUUGAAAAGGUUUUGAAAAAGAACAAGAAAACCAUGGGUUCUCCUUUUUCCAAAGCAAAGGGGAAGCUGGAAUGGAAGCAUGGCUGUGAACGGCAGUUUUGUUUCCUGGUCUGCUCUGCUCAAUGCCUCAUCCAGGGUUUUCUGUAGAGAUGCAGACUAAUCCUGUGUAUAUCCCCCUGUUUCCACCAACGGCUUAAUUGACAUUAGGAACUGGUUGUAAAGGCUUCUUUAAAAUAAAAAUAGAUCCAAAUGAGUUCAGUAAGGGGAAAAAUGGAUUUGUGUGCAUCAGAGACUCAAAAAAUCAAAGUCCGCUGACGUAAUUAUGGAAAUUCAGGGGAGACAGACAAUAAUAAACUCUCCUAAUCGUGGGAUCCAGGAUGUAAAAAACAUACCCCAGGUUGUAAAUGAAAAUGCCUAUGUCAUGACAGGAAAGAUCUGGAGGGGGGAGGUGUUGUUUCAUAGCAAGCUGUGGAGAUGAGAGCAAAGAGAAGAGAGAGAGCAAUGAGAAGCAAUGGAGAAGAGAGAUGGAGAAGGAAGACAGGUCAACUCCCAAAGGAAACAAGGCCUCAGCCCACUGACAAGAAAAGAUUUAUGUCUUCCUUGCCUGUGCUAUUCUUCCUUCCCACUGCCAGGACAGUGGAAUGUCCUUGACAGAAGUGAGGAAAUGGUGUUUAACAACUGAGACCUCCAUGACUGUCCUUUGCUGAGAUAUGAGCACUUACUAGUGGGCUGAGAAAGGGAUAGGCAUGAAGUACUAGGAGGUGCAGAGGAUAUCUGAACUAGACAACCUGAGAGGGCAGGUGUAAGAGAAAGGUAAUAAUCAGAAACUAGUCCGCUCUCUGAGAGCAUCUUUACAUCAAGGUACUUCAAGAAUUUAAUUUUCUGCUGCCUGUGUUGGACAGGAGAGGGACUGCAUUCAUGACACUUGAAUGAACCAUCAUAUAAUUAGAAGAACAACCUGUGCUAGCUCAUGAGAUCUGGUUAUUAAAGGGCUUCCUUAAAGUCUCAAGAAAUAACAAUAUCUACUGAAAAUGCAAUUUCAUAAUAAACUGGUAAAUUUCUAGCCCUAAUAUGUAUGAAGAAAACAUUUAAAAUCAAA